AUUGAACGCUGGCGGCAGGCCUAACACAUGCAAGUCGAGCGGAUGAAGGGAGCUUGCUCCUGGAUUCAGCGGCGGGCGGGUGAGUAAUGCCUAGGAAUCUGCCUGGUAGUGGGGGAUAACGCCCGGAAACGGGCGCUAAUACCGCAUACGUCCUGAGGGAGAAAGUGGGGGAUCUUCGGACCUCACGCUAUCAGAUGAGCCUAGGUCGGAUUAGCUAGUUGGUGGGGUAAAGGCCUACCAAGGCGACGAUCCGUAACUGGUCUGAGAGGAUGAUCAGUCACACUGGAACUGAGACACGGUCCAGACUCCUACGGGAGGCAGCAGUGGGGAAUAUUGGACAAUGGGCGAAAGCCUGAUCCAGCCAUGCCGCGUGUGUGAAGAAGGUCUUCGGAUUGUAAAGCACUUUAAGUUGGGAGGAAGGGCAGUAAGUUAAUACCUUGCUGUUUUGACGUUACCAACAGAAUAAGCACCGGCUAACUUCGUG
rnacentral:rRNA from 1 species